AUUGAACGCUGGCGGCAUGCCUUACACAUGUAAGUCGAACGGCAGCACGGGUGCUUGCACCUGGUGGCGAGUGGCGAACGGGCGCGUAAUACAUCGGAACGUACCUUAUCGUGGGGGAUAACGCAGCGAAAGCUGUGCUAAUACCGCAUACGCCCUGAGGGGGAAAGCGGGGGAUCGCAAGACCUCGCGCGAUUAGAGCGGCCGAUGCCGUGUUAGCUUGUUGGGGGGGUAAAAGCCCACCAAGGCGACGAGCAGUAGCUGGUCUGAGAGGACGAUCAGCCACACUGGGACUGAGGCACGGCCCAGACUCCGACGGGAGGCAGCAGUGGGGAAUUUUGGACAAUGGGGUCAACCCUGAUCCAGCAAUGCCGCGUGAGUGAAGAAGGCCUUCGGGUUGUAAAGCUCUAUUGUCAGGGAAGAAACACCGGCUCUAACACAGUCCGGGAAUGACGGUACCUGAAGAAUAAGCACCGGCUAACGACGUGCCAGCAGCCGCAGUAAAAC
rnacentral:rRNA from 1 species